GAGCUGAGCUGGGGAAGGGAGACCAGGGUUCACCACGUUAGCAUUCGCAUUCCUGGGAGGAUGCAGCCCUCGCCUGGACCUGGGCGAUAGACGCCUUCUUCUGUUUUUAUUUUUGGAGGGGAGCGCCCUGUAAUUGUCCUGAACACAUGCUUCCCCCCCUUCCUCCAGCCACCCGCGGAGGAGAGAGUCCCCCUUUUUUGCAUUUAUCUUUUCCUUCCCCUUUCUUUAUUAAAGGUCCGGGAGUGGCGGCGGCCAAUCAGCGCGCGGCUUCCAUUUUGUGAGUUCAACUCCGAGGCUCCCGGGCUUCGCGAGGACGCGUUUGCAGCCCCCUCUGCCGCUCCUCUCUGGCGGCCGAGGCGCAGGAGCCGCCUCGCCGGGGCUCGGAGCUGGUGUAGCUCAUAUUGGGGCUCUUUUCGGGGUUUGUAAUUUGGCCGUGGGUAGGUAAUUGGCUGGAGCAGGGCGGCAGGGCGCGGCAGCCAAUCAGCGCGCGGCUUCUAUAGGGCUUGAGUUAUUAGACGCUGAUCUCAAAACAUCCUUCAUCAGACACGAAGGAGAGGCCAACAGAUGAGGGAAGCCAUUUUUCUGCAAUGGAAUUAAAUGGCCAAGUGGGUUUUUCCUUUGUUGCAAAUGGGGAAUGUUUUUCCUUUGACUCUACCAUCCAGUUCAGGACGUCUCAGUGUGUUUAACAUUUGUCAACAGGCCCAAGGACUCACAGUUGGAAGACUGGAGAAGACUUUUUAAAAAGAUCUGGAUUUUUCCUUAUGACUUGGAAUCCAUCUUUGUCUUGUAUAACUAGGUCAUAGCACACCAUUCAUGUCAGCAGUUAACAGUUUUGAAUUCCAAAAAAACCUAAGUAAAUGACAUAUUUUUUUUCCUCUUUUUGUUCUAUGGGUGGGUGGGGGGAGCUUGGAGCUGUCUUAAUCUGUAUUCUCUUGACUGAACAAUAAAUUUUUAAAUAUAUCUAGUUUCCUCUAUUAAACACUUAAACCUGGCCAUCUUAUUAACUCCUUCUCUCUUUUUAACAAGGUAAUGUUUUAAAUGUAUAUAGCUUUAGGACUAGCGAAAUGGCAGCAACAAAAAAUUGUGAGCAGUUGUUACUCUUUUAGUUUUUAAAAAACCUUUUACAUUGUAAGUACCCAAUCCAUUCUGUCCUGACGCAGUACAGUUUUGAUGUUAAUGUUGCUGAGAUGUCCUUAAUUUUCCGAACCUUCAUCUGCAUGUAUGUCUUUGUCUCUCUUGUCUAAUAUAAGCCAGUUAAGAUGCUUGAGACGAUCUUGCUUUAUAAAGCUAAGGUUCUAGCUUUAUGCUUUUGAAAAUGUUUACAGCACUAAAUGCUAGUCAGCUUUCUUCCCCGUAGCUUGUACACUUUCUUUGAAAAUCGAUCUAUUUGAAGAAAAACAGCCCUGUUUUUCUCGUCUUUGGUGUUGGGGGUUGGGGGGAGCUGGUGGGUGAGGGAAAGGAAGACCUUUUCUUUGUGUAGAGAGACUAAAGCCGUCACAGGAAACUAGAUUAAAACUGGAAAACAAGUCCUAGCUGGUUCCAGCAAACACCAACGUUAAGUGGGGGGUAUUUUCUAUGGUGGUUGGGCGGCUGGUGCGUCUUGUGCCUUUUGUUUGAUUUGACUGUAUUUUCGCCUUUUGUCUCUUAAUGACGAUCACACCAUUGCUAUAUCCAGAGCAGUAAACAGUCCUCAGCGAAGCCGCCUUUUUGCCUACCCAACCCUGGAAAGUUUGCAGAAGUGGAAGGAGCAGAACGUGAGGGUGUAACUUACAAAAAGGUAAUAAGAACAAAGACACCACCAUAACCCCCAAAUUUCCCAACUAAAUCAAAAAAUAUAUAUGUUUUUACAAUAACGUCUCCAAAACCACCGCCCAGCUUGAUCUUCUAGACUCCAUGGCACCGGGCUGAGCGGGUAAGUAAGAAAGAUAAAAAGUGCCUUUUGCCCCUUCGAGGAAACCCUUUUGCAGGCCAAGCAAGGGCUGCAAGUGUUUGGGAGCUGAGAGGAGAAGGAGGAUUCUGGAGCAUUGUAUUUGGCAGCCGGAGCGGGCAGUGGGCGGGGGGUUGGGACACGAAGGGCUCUUCGGACCCCUGUGCCUCUUCUGCCCCAAGGGCGAGAAGACGGGCUUCGCAGCGACCCUCGGGGGUCCAUGGAGCCGCCUGCCUUCGCCCCCUCGCUCUUCCCAGGUCUGAACCUGGAUGGGGAGAAGAAAUUGAAGUGCUUUGGAGACGGGGGGGCUUAAAACACUAGGGAGCCUCAUCGCCCAGCCUUGGGCCCACUUUCCUUUCGAUCGUGAGGAUUCCGCACCCCGAAGCCGGCUUCUCGGGGCUCCGGGGCGCGCCUGCGCUGGCAACGCGAAGGAGGACAAAAGGCCGGCGUCCAUGUUGGCACCAUGACGCAGCAUCUCCGCCCGCAGCCCGGAGCUGCUGUCCUCCCGGCCGCGCUCGCUCCUCCUCCCAAACACCAGUUUUCUUUACAGGCUUCGAGCCCGUCGCGGCUGGGCCGGGCUGGUCUGGCAGGCGGGCCCAGCCGGGCAGGGCUGCUUUGCUAAUGGCGGCGGCUCUCUUUCCUUCCUUCCUCCUUUCCUCCGUCCCCCCGGUCGUGGGGAGCCCGGAGCAGGAGGCGGGCCCGCGGCCAGGUCGGGCCCCGAGAGCCCGCGGGGCGCAGCGCUGGCGACCGGGUGUCGGGGGCCGUUUCGGGGGCCGUGGGCCUCGGGGGCGUCGCGCGCCGCGCCUCCCGCGCUCGCCUCAGCCGGGCGCGGCGGCCUGAUGGGCGCCAUUUCGCGCGCUGCCCGUGGCUGGGGCGGUGGCGGCCGCCGCGCGCCGGGCGGGAGGAGCGGCAGGGGUAGGGGGCUGGGCGACCCGGCGGCCCACGCGGGCACCAGGAGGCCUCGCCCCGGACCGCUUCCCUCUUUCGUCUUUGUCCUGCGCGGGCGCCCGCAGCCGAGGGCCACGGGGUCGGCGGGGCUUCGAGGCCGCCCCGGGUCCCACCGGCUCCUCCGGAAGCCGCGGACCGGCCUGGCCCUGACCCCAGGCCGCCCCCCGCUGCCCACCCAGCUCUGGGCGCCCAGGUCCGACCUCCCAGUCGCCCUCUGAGAGCCGAGUCAGCGCGGGGCGGGGGGUCGCCCCCUUUGUCCUCACUCAGGGCGGGAGGCCCUCGGGGUGGCCGCAGACGCCCCGUUGGGCAGCCCUCCAGCCCAGCUCUCCAGGCAGGAGGUUCUGGGCCGGAGAAGGGGCGACGUUCGGGCACCCCCCGAAUGGACAAUCUUUCCUUCUGUCAACGGCAGGGGCAGGCCUAGUUUGACUCUGACAGUCCUCCCACUAAGGAAUUCCUGGUGACUGGAAGGGGGAGUGACUCAGGCCCUCAACCUCUAGCAGAGUGCCUUGGCUCCCUCCUGUCGUCCUGGGGAACCUCGGCCCCAGCCCUGCCUCCCCAGCCAGUCACAGCUCCUCCCUGGUCACCCUGAGGGAGCUCAGGGCCCGGCUGGUAGCUGGGUUGCUCUGCUUCUGUCCCCCACUCCUGUGGAGCCUGGCAGGCAACUCCAUGAUCUGACCCCGGUUACCUUGACAGCCCUGCCUGGCCUCCCCUCUCAUGGCCCAGCCACCCCAGAACCUGAAGAGGUUUUCUAGCUGCCGUGCAUUUGCCAGGCUGGGUUACCCACCCUACUUUCCCUGCCUGCCCUCCAGUGCUGCCAGGCCUAGUGUGCCAGCCAGCGCUCAGCCUUCAGUAAAGGGUUCCCCUGCUUCCAACCUCCAUUGCACUGCUUCCCCUAAGACUGUGACCUCCUGGAAGGCUGGAGCACAACUGCCUCUCAAUAAACGUGUUGCAAAAAAGGA
rnacentral:lncRNA from 1 species